CUUGUCCGGAGUUCGCGAUCAAGUGGAGCGUGCACAUACAGACCUAGUAUUCAUCAAGGGCUUCCUCAAAGAUGCAGACGCAAAGCGACGAGAUGAUGAGGCUAUACGCAUUUUUGUUGCCAAAAUUAGAGAUGCUGCUUAUGAUUUGGAGGAUGUCAUUGAAGCUUUUGUCUUGAAGGUGGAUUCCAAGAUGAAAGGAGGUAUAAAGAAUGUUUUGAAGAGGUUGGGGUGCAUCUUCGUUGAAGGAGCUCGCCGUCACAAGAUUGGGUCAGAACUUGGGGUUAUUACUAUCACGAUUUCUCAUCUGAGGGAGAACUUACAAGCUUAUGGUAUGUUAAGAGUUCUAAGUCACAGUGGAGGAGCCACUUCCAUUCCAUCACAAGAUCAGAAGCAGCAACAACUGAGGCGAACUUACACUCAUGUUAUUGAUCGUAAUGUGGUCGGGCUAGAGGAGUCUGUCCAUGAAUUGGUUGGGCAUUUGGUGAAGGAAGAGCAUCGCCACCGAGUUGUUUCUAUUAUUGGGAUGGGCGGAUCUGGGAAGACAACUAUUGCUAAACAAGUUUAUCAUCACAAAGAGGUAACAGACCAUUUCGAAUGUUUGGCUUGGGUUUGUAUAUCUCAACAAUAUCAAGUCAGGGAUGUCUUGGAGAGGAUUUAUGUCAAACUUCUUUGCCCCACAAAAGAGAAGAGAGAAGAAAUCAAAAAUUUGAAUGAUGACGAAAUACCAGGGAGGCUUUCUCGUCUCCAAAUUGAAAAAAAAAUGUUUGAUUGUCCUUGAUGACAUUUGGAAAAGAGAGACCUGGGACUUUUUGAAGGCUGCAUUUGAAUGCCAUGAAGACUCAGAGAGCAGGAUACUACUUACGACACGCAAUGAACAAGUAGCUUCGCAUGCCGAUGAGAACGGUUUUCACUACCGACCUCCACCACUGAAUGAGUCUGAGAGUUGGAAGCUGUUUGAGAAGAUUGCAAUGAGUGGAAGGAAAGCUGGAAUAGGUAGUUUCUCGAUUCACCACCCAACUAGAUCCAUCCUUUAUCGUUCGUUUUCUUUUUUAUUUAUCAAAAAUUCAAUAUACAUUGAACCAAUAAAUGGAAAAAAAAUUGCCUUGCAUCUGGUACUCCCGGCUUCCUAUAAAUUCAUAUCCAAAGAAGUUCUCAUUUUUCAUGACACAUAUAUCAUAUUUUUCUAAAAUUAAAGUCUGAAAAUGUCUUGUGGAAGAUGCUUGAAUACAUUCAAAGACUCUAGUGGACUUGGAUAUUUCCCUAUGUCUACUCAAAAAAAGGGAAAGCAACACUACUAUAUCUUCGUCAUAUAAACAUCCAAAAUUUAUAAUCUUGAUAACUUAUGUAUCACCAAUGAGUAAGAUUCGAAGACUUGCCGUCUACUUGGAUGAGAAUGAUGAUAAAUUGGUACCCUCACUUGGGGAAAGAGGUAGACACAUCACUUAAGGAAACUGAGAAUAAUAUUGUCAUCUAGCCAAUCGAAAAAUCUGGAGAAAAUCUUGGAUGCGGCAGGCUGCGUGCUCAACGGUAUCCGGUCCCUGCGGUUGGACAACCAUGUUGGAAUGGAAAGCGGUGCAGAGGUUAGUCAAAUAGUUGCAAGUUGCGGUCAAAUAUACAAGUUGGAGCUGUUUGGGCCCACACUAGAACUACCGAAAGAGUUCCACUCCCAUUCAAACCUCACCAAGUUACUUUUGUCUGGAGAAGCUGCCCAACCUGAAAAGUCUUGAUCUGCAGUUCAAUGUGUUUGAGGAAAAUACAAAAGUAUUGGUUUUCUCCGCUGGAAGCUUUCCUCGUCUUCAGUUUCUAACCCUUGGGAAUUUGGAAGGAAUAACGGAGUGGAGGGUGGAGGAAGGAGCCAUGCCUUGUCUCUGCAAAUUGCUCAUUGGCUUUUGCAAUGAAUUGAGUACGGUUCCAGAUGGGCUGAGACACCUUACUACCCUCAAGGAAUUGAAGAUUGUGGGUAUGCCUAAACUAUUCUGUAGUAAGCUUGAGGAAGGAGGAGAAGACUUCCAUAAAGUCCAACACAUCCCUUCCCUUAUGAAUCCGAUGAAUUAAAAGAGUGACCAUGCCUGUACCAGCACGUAGGCCCACAAUGUACAGCUUCUGUUUGAGGAAAAUCUCCUGCAUUCAAACAUAUCUAUCAAAAUGGCUAUACAAUUUUAUCAGAUUCUGCUUGUCAUUGCAAGAAAGAUGGAUGAUUUUCACAGAGCAACUUCAAGAUCUAUGGGGAUUAAUUGAAGGCAAACCAAGUGAGCUGACAAGACGGGUCGACGGUUCCCAUGAGUUGAGAACUGGAAAGUUUUUCUACUACUUGUGGUGUUACUGAAUAAAUUGAAAUCUGUGCAGCUUUGUUAGAAAUGUUUUUCUUAUAUUUUUUCUUGGAUUGCUGUAUUUGUGUGCUUCCUAUUUAGACUUGUUCCACUGGAUAAUGAGCAAGACAUUGAGAGGUUUAUGUUGUUGCCUUGUUGGACAUAUGAUUGUCGUCUGAUAUAAAAUGCCUAUGGCUUUUAUUGUUUC